AUGUAUACCUGUGUGGAAGAGUACUCACAGGUGUCCCCGCGGAGAUGUUGGGUGUCUGGGGAGUCCAGUUGUCUUGGAUGCAGUCUCACUUCAGUCAGCCAGAGAGGCAGAGAGGACACGACCAACACCCGGCAGAGACACACAACAUCUUCGCUUCGACCUCAGGUGUACCGGUGGAUGACCCUCAUGGCGGGCCUCGCAGCUCUCUGCCUGCUUCUGGUGUUUCCACUGAGCAGCUCCCAGAGCACUCUGCAGUCUGAGCAGGAGAUCAGGCCCCAUCAGGGCCCGGCAGCACCUCCUCCUCCCCCUCCUCCACCUCCACCACACAUACGAGACCUGCUAAGAAAAGAGGAAACCACUGAUCUAAAUGCGAAGAAUACAUACGCCCGCUUAGACAAAGACAACGCCAAAGUUGGUCUCUUCAUCGCUGCGUCCGCUGGAACCUGCGCUCUGAUGGCUGCAGUGUACUGCAUCUACAACAAGUUCUACACCAAACAGCAGUACCUGCACACCCAACUCAACGAUGACUCAGAUUUGACCACAGACCCCAUGGACCCUCCCCCCGUGUUUUUCCACGCCUCUCCCAGCUCCAGUGCGGCAGACGUGCGGCGAGCUGGUUACGGCUCGCUCUCGGACACACCGUCCAUCAUCUCUGUGCCACCCUGCCUGUCUCCUCCUCCCUCCGCCAUGCCCUUCCCUCCCCUCUUCGUCUCCUCUCGCUCUCUGAGAACUAUAUCAGCGAAGGAUCUGGAGAGGAGCUGCAUCUGAUAUCGAGUUCUCAAGUUAGACUCACGAAUGACAGUCAGGAAGAAGUAGUUGUGUUUUUCACUGUACACUUUGUUGUCCAUUUUCUACGCAUAUCACCCUCACAUUCACCCUUCACUGCCAUCAACCACCACCAAAUCUGCCCCCAACAUUCACCUUUGCAUCAUAACCAUAUGUAUGAAGUGUAGUCAGAGUUUUUCCUGCACCUUGUCUGACACUAUCAGUAGUCAUCCAGUGGUACCACAAGAAAUAAACUGUCCAAAAAUAAAAGAAAUGCUGUCAUGAUCAUUUCAUUCAUUUAAUUUCAAUACUCAGAGCCCUACUGUCAACUGAAAUUGCUCUAUUUUAACAAGAACUUUAAAGGAUAAAUUCACCCCCAAAAAUAAAAAGAUCUGUCAUGAUCUACUCAGCUACACGCUGACGGAAAGUCGGGUGAAGUUUCGUGGAUCACAAAACAUUUCUGGAGCUUCACAGCGUCACAGCAUUGUCUGAAACAACUGAAGUAGAUGGGGACUUGUUUUAAAACAGGGUUACAAAAAAUAAAACGGCUCAUCCUGUGAAUUCCAGUCCUCUAGAAGUCCUAACAUUCCAAAUUGAUUUAAAAAAUACGUUAUUUAAACCCUUUUUUAAGCUGAAAUCUUCACUGUAACUGCUGAGCUAAAAAUGUUAGCGCACACGCCAUCUGAAGCGAGUGCACAAACUCGACUGCAUGUUGUGGGUGUAAACAAUUUCUUUUCAAAACAAUUUGGUUAUCUGCGGAGACUUGGAUGACGAUGGAUGAGCUGUACGGAGCCAUUUUAUAACUGUUUUUUUUUUUUCAGGGUUCUUUCUUUUUUUUUAUUUUAAAACAAGUCCCCAUCUACGUCAGUUGUUGUUGAGGGAUGCCGCAACACUGUUUUCCUCUGCCAUCGACAUGAGGGUGAGUAGAUAAUGACUGACUUUUCGUUUCUUGGGGGAGCUCAUCCUUUAAGCAGUUGUCACACCCAUAUGGAAGAAGGGGUGUGCAGAAAUGAUGCGUGGUGGCAGCUCUAACACUGUUGGCAUGACGCACAGGGCGCAUAGCUGAGGCACAAAAAAACCCGACAAAAUCCGGAUCUUAUCAUUUUAUGAAAUCUGAUUUUUCUUUGUUUUUCUUUUGCUUGUAGAUUUACUUCGCCUCUUACUUUGGAUCUAUACACCUUUUCCCGACAGCUCAACUAAGGAUCAGUCCAGUGCCCUGGGAGCAGCCUGCCCCUCCCGUGCCACAAAUACCUGGGAACCCCGUUAAUAUGCUUCGAUCGGACACUGUUUACUCUAACUUGCUCCAUUCAAGGCUUUCGCGUUCCAAGAAUAGUCUGUGCUUAAAACGCCGGGCUGCGGGGAAGGAAGUGACAUGCUACCUUCCACUCGCUACACACACUUGGAGAGAUUAGCGCGCAGGCAGCGGUAAUCUGGUUUCAGGACCACGGACAGAGACACCGCUUGGCCACGAAAGUUACCUCCAUCCGGCGCGCUGCGAGACCUUUUACGGGAGUGUCGAGAAGUUCACCUGGACGCGAGGGAGUCUGGCAAAGUGGGGCUGACAAUGUUUGUUCCGCUGGUUUUAUCCAACUGCAGUUGAAACAAAUCAAAUCUGGACAAUCGGCGUCGCCAUAGAUUCCGCCGCAAAGGAAACUGCGGGUUAAUGAGUCUAAGGAUCAAGUAAAAUCAAGGUGUUUUUUUUUUUUCUUUUCCUUUUUUUUUUUUUUUUUUUUAUGUGUGAGUGAGAGCCACGGGGCGGAGGGAGUAGAGGGAGAAGGCUGUGCGCUCGGUCGGGAGCGCGCAAAGACUGCACAUUGGU
ensembl:lncRNA